GGUAGAUUGGCUCAGUGGUUAGAGCUUAGGUCUCGUAACCGAAAAGUCCGGGAUCGAAUCCUGCUGAAGGCUG
rnacentral:tRNA from 1 species